GAUGAACGCUGGCGGCGUGCCUAAUACAUGCAAGUCGAGCGAAUGGAUUAAGAGCUUGCUCUUAUGAAGUUAGCGGCGGACGGGUGAGUAACACGUGGGUAACCUGCCCAUAAGACUGGGAUAACUCCGGGAAACCGGGGCUAAUACCGGAUAACAUUUUGAACCGCAUGGUUCGAAAUUGAAAGGCGGCUUCGGCUGUCACUUAUGGAUGGAUCCGCGUCGCAUUAGCUAGUUGGUGAGGUAACGGCUCACCAAGGCAACGAUGCGUAGCCGACCUGAGAGGGUGAUCGGCCACACUGGGACUGAGACACUGCCCAGACUCCUACGGGAGGCAGAAGUAGGGAAUCUUCCGCAAUGGACGAAAGUCUGACGGAGCAACGCCGCGUGAGUGAUGAAGGCUUUCGGGUCGUAAAACUCUGUUGUUAGGGAAGAACAAGUGCUAGUUGAAUAAGCUGGCACCUUGACGGUACCUAACCAGAAAGCCACGGCUAACUACGUGCCAGCCGCCGCGGUAA
rnacentral:rRNA from 1 species